AGGGAGGUCAAAUUACACUUCCUAACUCAUUUGGGACUACACAAUAAAAGUUUGGAUUUUGCUUGGAAGUAAUCUACCACCCUAGAGUGCUGCUGUAACAGACACUAGAGCAAUGCUGUGCUAUAGUCAUGUGGUAAAGAGAGAAGAAUGGAUGGAAAUGGAAACAGAAAUGAGGCAUCAGUAGGGAAGCAGAAAGUGACGAGCAGAAGAAAGUGCAAAAGGAGACGAAAGACAGCAAGAAAAAGGAAAGAAAAGGAGAAUCAAGUGGAUGGCCGCUGAUCAAGUAUAAGGUGUUGUAGUAAUAUUUACCUGCAUGAAGCGGCCCUCUGAAGUUCCCAGAUUAGCAACAGGGAAGUUGUGGUGUUUCAGAAUUUACCCUGGAUUCGGUCCACUGAAGACAAAUGUGCCAAAAAAGUCUCUAGACAUCGUUGCGCUGGGCUAUCAAGAGCUGUUGCUGUUUGGCAGAAUCAAAUUAAUAAGUAUCAACUUUUGCUUUCUGCUCUGGAUCCUGGGAGUCUCCCUCAAGAGAACUGGGCACCCACAAGUGCUGCCAGUGUUUCUCCUUUGAGCACUUCUAUGGCAUAACAUGGAGCAAGGGGAAACAAGCUACUGCUAAAUGAGCUGGAUCCUGGUAUCUGCAAACAAUAAAAAUCUUUUUUCAAAGAAA